rnacentral:rRNA from 1 species
CCCUUAGAUGUUCUGGGCCGCACGCGCGCUACACUGAUUCAUGCAACAAGUUUUGUCCUUGGCUGAUAGGCCUGGGUAAUCUUUGAACGUGAAUCGUGAUGGGGAUAGAUGAUUGCAAUUAUUCAUCCUCAACGAGGAAUUCCUAGUAAACGCAAGUCAUCAGCUUGCAUUGAUUACGUCCCUGCCCUUUGUACACACCGCCCGUCGCACCUACCGAUUGAAUGGUCCGGUGAAAUCUUCGGAUCUGAGAGAUGUCUGAUUAAUUUCGGACGCCUUUUGGAAAAGUUGCUUAAACCUUACCAUUUAGAGGAAGGUGAAGUCGUAACA